AGUGAACGCUGGCGGUAGGCCUAACACGUGCAAGUCGAACGGCAGCACAGUAAGAGCUUGCUCUUACGGGUGGCGAGUGGCGGACGGGUGAGGAAUACAUCGGAAUCUACUUUUUCGUGGGGGAUAACGUAGGGAAACUUACGCUAAUACCGCAUACGACCUACGGGUGAAAGCAGGGGAUCUUCGGACCUUGCGCGAUUGAAUGAGCCGAUGUCGGAUUAGCUAGUUGGCGGGGUAAAGGCCCACCAAGGCGACGAUCCGUAGCUGGUCUGAGAGGAUGAUCAGCCACACUGGAACUGAGACACGGUCCAGACUCCUACGGGAGGCAGCAGUGGGGAAUAUUGGACAAAGGGCGCAAGCCUGAUCCAGCCAUACCGCGUGGGUGAAGAAGGCCUUCGGGCUGUAAAGCCCUUUUGUUGGGAAAGAAAAGCAGCAGGUUAAUACCCCGCUGUUCUGACGGUACCCAAAGAAUAAGCACCGGCUAACUUCGUG
rnacentral:rRNA from 1 species